AUCUUCACUGCUCUAUGCACACAGGAACACCAGAUUGCCAUCCCUGGGGAACAGAAUGCAACCCGGGAUCUAGAGAGCUGUCACAUUCCAAGAAAUAUUUAAAUUGUGCUGAUUUUCUUCUGGAGAACUGAGCCCAGGGAAUGAAACUCUCCAUCAAGUCAUGGCUUUGCGGGCAAUAGAUCAGAGGAUAUUGCCAGUUUUCUAAUGGAUUAUUGUUAUCGGGCAGGUUUUCUCUGAAGCUUCUCAGCUGCUGUUACAUUCUACUUGGAUGGGUCCUAUUUCUUUCCUCCUUUUCCUCGAAUAAGCAUUCGUAUGCAGAUGACGGGGGCCUUCAAAAGAACUGGAGAUCAGCCAGAUCACUUGUAUGCACAAAGCUGCUGUGGAUCUGUCUUUCAAACAAGAGCUGCAGAAAACGCUAUAGCAAGGUUGAAGCUUUAUCCACUCUGACUCACCCAGAAAGCACAGCCCUGAUUCUGCGUGAGAAAGGCUAUCUCUACAGAAACUAAAACGGUAUCAACGGUUUCUGUACAGCACAGAUUAUGACAGCGUCUUUCUUAA
rnacentral:ncRNA from 2 species